GAAAAAGUAAAUGAAAUUCAGAAAGGUAAUUGAAAAUGUGGAUUUUUAAGAUUGCCCUGCUGAUAAAAAAGAUAAAAAUAUAAUAAUUAUAGAUAACAAUCAAAGUACAUAUUUUAAGCAUCGUCUAAAUAAAUUAUAUAUUGACUAAUUUAUGCCCCACACAAUGGUGACUAUUACUAUCCACAUUUUGUAGACAGGGAGAGUGAUGCACAGAGCCAUGAGAUGACUUCCUCCCGCUUGCCCAGCUGUUGAGAUGGCAAAGACUGGAGUCCUCAGAGAGUGGUUCUUGGUCAUACUGCUUCUUGGUGUCACUGAACACCCUGAAGUUCAUAGUAAAAUAUCUAAUGGCAGAGGAAAAGCUCAGAAGGGCGUUCAAGUGACCAAGAGGGUUGGAGGCCUCAGCUUCAUUUGAUGCCUAAGAGAAGAUGGGUCAAUAUGGCUCUUUUCUUAAAAGAUGUGCUACAUACCAUAAAUGUACUUGAAUUCCUUCCUUGAUAAUCAAAAGUCUGUCAAGAGGUUUGCUGGCAUUCGAUUCUGAUACUAUGCUGUUUGACAUCAUUCAAUAACAUGUUGCACACUGAACAAACAAGUGUUACUCUUUAGUCUCCAACAUAUGUCAAAUAAAUGGCUAUUUCAGUUCCA
rnacentral:lncRNA from 1 species